UACGGAGGGUGCGAGCGUUGUCCGGAAUCAUUGGGCGUAAAGAGCGUGUAGGCGGCCAACUAAGUCCUGCGUGAAAUCUCGGGGCUCAACCCCGAGCGGUCGUGGGAAACUGGUUGGCUAGAGUGCGGGAGAGGAGAGUGGAAUUCCUGGUGUAGCGGUGAAAUGCGCAGAUAUCAGGAAGAACACCCGUGGCGAAGGCGGCUCUCUGGAACGCAACUGACGCUGAGACGCGAAAGCGUGGGGAGCAAACAGG
rnacentral:rRNA from 1 species